UCUCUUGUGCUCGGGCAUGUACUGUCGCCAGUGAGGUUUCUACCGAGGCACAGUUUUUUUGCUGAUUGCAAAUUAUACAUCCGAACCCGUCUGUAAGCUUCGGCUUUCAGCAAUUUUUGGAAAUCCCUUUUUUAGCGCUUGCUUUCUUUUGUGA
rnacentral:snRNA from 1 species